rnacentral:lncRNA from 1 species
AUGCACUCCGUCCUGCCGCCCAGUGAAAAAGGUGCCUGCUUCUCCUUUGCCUUCCCCUGUGACUGUAACUUUCCUGAGGCCUCCCCAGCCAUGCGGAACUAUUUUAUAGAUGGCAAAACAGUCUUAGAGGUGAACUAUCUUGGCCAAGAUCAGAAAAUUGGUACGCAGAGGACCCAAAACUUCUAACAGAGGAAAGUCAGAGCAGAGAGGAGAGAAUCACAUGGCAUUUUUUCCUGAUAAUUCUAGAGGGAAGGAGCAUUACCACCACCAUGUAAGCGAAUGCGAAACUGCUCUCUUCAGAUCUCGAGGCACAGCUGUCAAGGGUUUUAUCAUGCUGUUGCCAUUUGUCAGGCAUGCUGGCCACCCAGCAUCUGAGCCUCUUCCUAUGGAUGGGAAAUGGUCCACUCUUGAGGAAAAGCAAGUGGCCCAGACGAGGGGCUGAAAGCACCAGAAACUUGCUCUCCCAGCCUCUCCUGCAUCUGCUGGUGACAACCUCGGAGCACAGACAUUACGGGGAAAUGGGGCCCGGCUAGCAGGGCCUGGCUAACCAGUGUCCUCCAAACCUGGUUCUCCACCUUCCCAGAGACACUGUGACCCAGUCAGAAUCCUUACAAUAAUUUUUCUGUGCAGAUCACACAGGUAGUGUGUAACAAGCCCUUUGACUUAGCAGGCUUAUUUUACCCAUUACUCAUAUUUUGAAUAUGAGUAAUUUUGAAUUUCAUCCAUUCUUCUCACACAUGAAUGCACCCUUCAGACAAUACACCCACUGUGGACACACUGAGUACAAGGAGAGACUGUUACUGUGGACACCAUAUGUUUCCAUAUUGUUUACAUCUUUUUUCAUUUUUUCUUUUUUUUUCAUUUUAGAGACAAGUCUUGCUGUCACCCAGGCUGGAGUACAGUGGUAUGAUCAUAGCUCACUGCAGUCUUAACCUGCUAGGUUCAGGCGAUCCGCUCGCCUCAGCCUCCUGAGUAGCUGGGACUACAAGCACGCACCACCACGCCCAAAUAACUUUUUGAUUUUUUGUAAAAGUAGGGUCCUGCUAUGUUGCUCAGGCUGGUCUCGAACUCCUGGCCUCAAGUGAUCCUUCCACCUCAGCCUCCCAAAGUGCUGGGAGCCUGAAGCGUGAGCCACCGUGCCCGGCCUCUCUGGUUUUGUUUUCUAUUGAUCACAAUUAACUUUGGGAAUUACAGGGAAAAGCAUUCUUUGCCAAAACCAAACUUCUUUAGCCCAUUCAAUAAUGACUAUCAGAAGAAUGACUAACAUUUAUUGAAUGCUUAUUAAAUACCAGGCUCUCUUCUGAGAGCGUCAUGAAUUAACUAUCUUCACCACGAGUCUGUGAGGCACGUCUCACAGUGAGCAGCGGAGAGCUAAGGGGACAGCGCAGACCCAGAGGCCAUGCUCUUACACACAACCUCAAUAUCACACCACAUUAACAAGCAAUCCUCUCCAUAAGCAAAGAAACAAAUGUGAUAAAGAAAAUUCUCCUCUCCCUCUCCCUCCCUCCCCCUCCCUCCCUCCCUCUCUCCCUCUCCCUCUCCCUCCUCUCCCUCUCCCCAUGGUCUCCCGCUCCCCACGGUCUCCCUCUCCCUCUCUUUCCACGGUCUCCCUCUGAUGCUGAGCCGAAGCUGGACUGUACUGCUGCCAUCUCGGCUCACUGCAACCUCCCUGCCUGAUUCUCCUGCCUCAGCCUGCCGAGUGCCUGCGAUUGCAGGCGCGCACCGCCACGCCUGACUGGUUUUCGUAUUUUUUUGGUGGAGACGGGGUUUCGCUGUGUUGGCCGGGCUGGCCUCCAGCUCCUAACCGCGAGUGGUCCGCCAGCCUCGGCCUCCAGAGGUGCUGGGAUUGCAGACAGUGUCUGGUUCACUCAGUGCUCAAUGGUGCCCAGGCUGGAGUGCAGUGGCGUGAUCUCGGCUCGCUACAACCUCCACCUCCCAGCUGCCUGCCUUGGCCUCCCAAAGUGCCCAGAGUGCAGCCUCUGCCCGGCCGCCACCCCGUCUAGGAAGUGAGGAGCGUCUCUGCCUGGCCGCCCAUCGUCUGGGAUGUUAGGAGCCCCUCUGCCUGGCUGCCGAGUCUGGAAAGUGAGGAGCGUCUCUGCCUGGCCGCCAUCCCAUCUAGGAAGUGAGGAGCACCUCUUCCCGGCUGCCAUCCCAUCUAGGAAGUGAGGAGCGUCUCUGCCCAGCCGCCCAUCGUCUGAGAUGUGGGGAGUGCCUUUGCCCCGACGCCCCGUCUGGGAUGUGAGGAGCGCCUCUGCCCGGUCGCGACCCCGUCUGGGAGGUGAGGAGCGUCUCUGCCCAGCCGCCCCAUCUGAGAAGGGAGGAGACCCUCCGCCUGGCAACCGCCCCGUCUGAGAAGUGAGGAGACCCUCCGCCCGGCAGCCGCCCCGUCUGAGAAGUGAGGAGCCCCUCCGCCCAGCAGCCACCCCGUCUGGGAAGUGAGGAGCGUCUCCGCCCAGCAGCCGCCCCGUCCAGGAGGGAGGUGGGGGUCAGCCCGCCAGGCCAGCCGUCCCGUCUGGGAGGGAGGUGGGGGGGUCAGCCCCCUGCCCGGCCAGCCGCCCCGUCCGGGAGGGAGGUGGGGGGGGUCAGCCCCCGGCCCGGCCAGCCGCCCCGUCCGGGAGGUGAGGGGCACCUCUGCCCGGCCGCCCCUACUGGGAAGUGAGGAGCCCCUCUGCCCAGCCAGCCGCUCCAUCCGGGAGGGAGGUGGGGGGGUCAGCCCCCCGCCCGGCCAGCCGCCCCGUCCGGGAGGGAGGUGGGGGGGGUCAGCCCCCCCACCCGGCCAGCCGCCCCGUCCAGGAGGUGAGGGGCGCCUCUGCCCGGCUGCCCCUACUGGGAAGUGAGGAGCCCCUGUGCCCGGCCAGCCACCUCAUCCGGGAGGGAGAUGGGGGGGUCAGCCCCCCGCCCGGCCAGCCGCCCCAUCCGGGAGGGAGGUGGGGGGGGUCAGCCCCCCGCCCAGCCAGCCGCCCCAUCCGGGAGGGAGGUGGGGGGGUCAGCCCCUCGCCCGGCCAGCCACCCCGUCCGGGAGGGAGGUGGGGGGGUCAGCCCCUCGCCCGGCCAGCCACCCCGUCCGGGAGGGAGGUGGGGGGGUCAGCCCCCCGCCCGGCCAGCCGCCCCACCCAGGAGGUGAGGAGCGCCUCUGCCCGGCCGCCCCUACUGGGAAGUAAGGAGCCCCUCUGCCCGGCCACCACCCCGUCUGGGAGGUGUACCCAACAGCUCAUUGAGAACGGGCCAGGAUGACAAUGGCGGUUUUGUGGAAUAGAAAGCGGGGAAAGGCGGGGAAAAGAUUGAGAAAUCGGAUGGUUGCCAUGUCUGUGUGGAAAGAAGUAGACAUGGGAGACUUGUCAUUUUGUUCUGUACUAAGAAAAAUUCUUCUGCCUUGGGAUCCUGUUGAUCUGUGACCUUACCCCCCAACCCUGUGCUCUCUGAAACAUGUGCUGUGUCCACUCAGGGUUAAAUGGAUUAAGGGCAGUGCAAGAUGUGCUUUGUUAAACAGAUGCUUGAAGGCAGCAUGCUCGUUAAGAGUCAUCACCACUCCCUAAUCUCAAGUACCCAGGGACACAAACACUGCGGAAGGCCACAGGGACCUCUGCCUAGGAAAACCAGAGACCUUUGUUCACUUGUUUAUCUGCUGACCUUCCUUCCACUAUUGUCCUAUGACCCUGCCAAAUCCCUCUCUGUGAGAAACACCCAAGAAUGAUCAAUAAAAAUAAAAAUUAAAAAAAAAAAAAGAAAGAAAAUUCUCA